rnacentral:rRNA from 1 species
CGUUACGGUGGAGUCAUUGUUGAAAUACCACUCUGGUCGUGCUGGAUGUCUAACCUCGGUCCGUGAUCCGGAUCAGGGACAUUGCCUGGUGGGUAGUUUAACUGGGGCGGUUGCCUCCUAAAGGGUAACGGAGGCGCCCAAAGGUUCCCUCAGCCUGGUUGGCAAUCAGGUUUUGAGUGUAAGUGCACAAGGGAGCUUGACUGUGAGACUGACAGGUCGAGCAGGGACGAAAGUCGGGACUAGUGACCCGGCGGUGGCUUGUGGAAGCGCCGUCGCUCAACGGAUAAAAGGUACCCCGGGGAUAACAGGCUGAUCUUGCCCAAGAGUUCAUAUCGACGGCAUGGUUUGGCACCUCGAUGUCGGCUCGUCGCAUCCUGGGGCUGGAGUAGGUCCCAAGGGUUGGGCUGUUCGCCCAUUAAAGCGGUACGCGAGCUGGGUUUAGAACGUCGUGAGACAGUUCGGUCCCUAUCCGCUGUGCGCGUAGGAAACUUGAGAAGGGCUGUCCCUAGUACGAGAGGACCGGGAUGGACGAACCUCUGGUGUGUCAGUUGUUCUGC